ACGCUCGACACCUACGGGAGGCAGCAGUGGGGAAUAUUGCACAAUGGGGGAAACCCUGAUGCAGCGACGCCGCGUGAGCGAAGAAGUAUCUCGGUAUGUAAAGCUCUAUCAGCAGGGAAGAAAAUGACGGUACCUGACUAAGAAGCACCGGCUAAAUACGUGCCAACAGCCGCGGUAAUCUGAGCGGGCUGGCAAGGC
rnacentral:rRNA from 1 species